UCGAUCUGUGCAACAAAGCUGGAUACAUAAGUUUUAUCUGUAGACUUGGGAAGAGGAGCGGUAACGGCACGGAACAGCGCAGAAUGCAGCAGGGGAAGGUUGAUGAUGAAGGAACACUGUUCAGUGGCUGAGCACAGCUAACAGUGACUCCUGGAACAGCUCAAUCAUGCUGACAAUAAACAAGAGCCGGUCCCUCUCUGCCUCGUACGCUGCCCCCACUGCCAAUCACCUGAACACCAAGAGGCAGAGCAGGCCAGGACCUGUCUGCCUGAUUGGAUCUGGCAUCACCCUGGUGUGGGGCACGUUCUCCUGGGAUACACUGGCUCCAGUACCUGAUUGCUGCAUUAAAGAAAGAGUUCUGCAGCACAAACCCAGACCAGAAACGUGAAACUUCACUCUCAUCGAUUGACCAAACCUUUCCUUUUUGGUUACACCCAGAACUAACCUUACAAGUAUAUAUACCGACACCAUCUACUGGACAUUUACAAUAAUGCAUCAUUAGUAGUUUCUGGUAUGUAAGCUACUGUAACAGUUUUAAAGGCUGCAUCUAGUCUUGUGACUCCUGGACUGUACAUUAAGAGGGUUAAAAAGCAGUAGAUUCACCUUCAACUGUCGAGCAAAAACAGCACACACGCUGCCUAGGACCUUCACAAGAAUAGAUGGGCAGUGUGCUCCACUCUCCUGGAAGCUGAUGCUUGAUUUACUGUUUAAAAUUUCAGUCCCUGUAAAUAAUUUAUCUCUCCCUUGCACUUCUCUAGACAUCCACUUCCCCUUUCUGCUUCUGGCCAGGGUCUUCUGAUUAAACUGUGAAGAUGAAUUUGAUUUAACUCAGCUCUGGUUUAUGGAUGAUUCACUUACGUGGGCGCAUUAGCCACGCUGCUGGGGUCGUGCUAUGGUGAUUACAUCCACUCUUCUAAUGGGAGGGCUCUGGUGUUUCAAAUGAAUGUAAUGAAUUAACCAGAACCCAACGCAGACACCAGUAACCUGUACAUUUAUAGCCAGCAUCUGUCAAAUGAAACCUAAUUAAUUCAAAAUGAAGAUAUAAGCUUCUGUCAGCUGUCCUUAUGACACUCAGCUAGUUUGACUACAAAUGUUUUUUAACUGUAAACAGCAUUCAAUAGUGUCUCAGGUGAGAAUUUCUUGUAUCUUUUGUUUGGCAAUCCAGUGUAAAUGUCGAAUUUACUUUACUUCACAUACAGUACACAAUACUAUGUAAAUACCUGCUGUGUUUAUUUCAGCUUUUGUUUUUUAAGUUUAACAGGUAUUUUCUCCUUUUGGAAGUAUUUUUUACUCUUUGGCAUUACAGCCUUUGAAAAUAAACCCCAUCUCUUAAUUUUCACUCAUAUAACAUGUCACCUUGAAGAGUGAGUCAAAGUGAAUAGGUUGUGAUAAUCCAAAAUGACAAGUUAUUUUCCUCCCUUUCUUGCUCCUCUUUUCCAAUUUUGAAGAAUGCCGCGGUAAGUCUAUACAUGUUUUCCUUAACCGAGGGACCAUUCUGCUCAGCGUUACCCGUUAUCUUAUGUGAUUAAAGGAUUUCUUCAGGUAACUUGUUCUGGUUUUAUAUGUCAAUGCGUUCAAUUUGUGUGUUCUUACCCUCUGAGUCGAUUUGGUUUGUCUUAUAGUUCAAAUUUAUACAGCAGUGAGUGUAUGCACUCUUCAGGAAUCUGAGGUCGCUACGGCAAAGCGGUCUCUGGUUAUUUCACUGCAUUUGCACUGCAGUUUAAAAUCUUCUGGUUUUCACUCCUAAUCUAACAGGCGCAUAUUAAAAUCGGUAAACCAAUAAUUGGCAUUAGGACACAAGAACAUCGACAAACGCGAUGAGGCAUGAACCUUAACCUGUGUUAGUUACACUGGUCUCAAUUGUGCAGCUUUUACAAAAUAUCUAUUUUCAUUUUAAAACAUGAUAACUCGUACUACAGCAGCUUAAAGAAAGUGUUCUGUUUCCAUGAUGGCCAAGAAAGUGCAACCAUAUUUUAAAAUAAAAAAUAGCAUGUGUUUCUUUCAAAACUGCUCCUUUGAAACCUAUAUAACAAACGAAAGUGCACAACAGGCAAUAUUCAUGGAAUUAUUUUGUUAGCUCUUUCACUUUGAACACACAUUUAUACGGAUGAAUAUUUUUUAAAUAAAUGCUGUUCUGUUUUAUAUGUGAAUUAGAUCACGGUUUGUUUUAGUUUGUUUCUGGAAGAACAUGCAGAGUUACCAUCUCUCAAUGCAGCACUGAAGACACUUGGUUUGGUAUUCACAGUAAAAUAAAUAUUCUCUGGGAGCACAUCUUGCUGAAUCUACUCCCACUAAACAAACAGCACUGCAUCCCACAGAAGGUCAUGCUUCAUAUUGUGAACACUCCUCCACUGACACUGAAAUUACCAAGAAGCUUGCGCAAGUUUGCAGCAAUUCGGCAGCAAUUCGGCAGCGUCCAGGCUGUGGUUCUGCUGAUGCGUACUGUAUUUACAGGCCACAUUUCUCAAUGUAAGCUGGCCCCAAUCCAGUCCAAAUGAAACAAAGCUCAUUAAGAUAGAAAGGCUGGACGUCACACUUGUGGAUAAACACAUUCUUUUGCUGUACCUCUCACCAGUAUAGUUUUAGUUUUAGUGAACUGAAUGUCUAUUUGUCAAAUGUUAAUAAGUUUGGUAACCCUUCUUAACGUUUAGGACUUUCUACCUGCUCUUAAACUUGCUCCCUUCUAAGCACUAUAUGUACUACCUAAGCACCAUUUUUUUUCAUUAAUCAACCACUCGUCUUACAAAUAGCAUUUUGUGGCAGGCUUGUAAAUCCCUCUCAAACGCACCACCUUUGAAAUAGAAAUAUAGAUGCUAUUUGCUUAAACAAGUCUUUGCUCAUUAACUGCUUUGGGUGAGUGUGUA